UUCGGCAAUGGACGAAAGUCUGACCGAGCAACGCCGCGUGAGUGAAGAAGGUUUUCGGAUCGUAAAGCUCUGUUGUAAGUCAAGAACGUGUGUGAGAGUGGAAAGUUCACACAGUGACGGUAGCUUACCAGAAAGGGACGGCUAACUACGUGCCAGCAGCCGCGGUAAUACGUAGGUCCCGAGCGUUGUCCGGAUUUAUUGGGCGUAAAGGGAGCGCAGGCGGUCAGGAAAGUCUGGAGUAAAAGGCUAUGGCUCAACCAUAGUGUGCUCUGGAAACUGUCUGACUUGAGUGCAGAAGGGGAGAGUGGAAUUCCAUGUGUAGCGGUGAAAUGCGUAGAUAUAUGGAGGAACACCAGUGGCGAAAGCGGCUCUCUGGUCUGUCACUGACGCUGAGGCUCGAAAGCGUGGGUAGCGAACAGGAUUAGAUACCCUGGUAGUCCACGCCGUAAACGAUGAGUGCUAGGUGUUAGGCCUUUCCGGGGCUUAGUGCCGGAGCUAACGCAAUAAGCACUCCGCCUGGGGAGUACGACCGCAAGGUUGAAACUCAAAGGAAUUGACGGGGGCCCGCACAAGCGGUGGAGCAUGUGGUUUAAUUCGAAGCA
rnacentral:rRNA from 1 species